UACGAAGGGGGCGAGCGUUGUUCGGAUUUACUGGGCGUAAAGGGCGCGCAGGCGGCUCAUUUUGUCAGGCGUGAAAGCCCCGGGCUUAACCUGGGAACUGCGUUUGAUACGGAUGGGCUAGAGUUCGGGAGAGGAGAGUGGAAUUCCCAGUGUAGAGGUGAAAUUCGUAGAUAUUGGGAAGAACACCGGUGGCGAAGGCGGCUCUCUGGACCGAUACUGACGCUGAGGAGCGAAAGCGUGGGGAGCGAACAGG
rnacentral:rRNA from 1 species